rnacentral:rRNA from 1 species
UCCAGACUCCUACGGGAGGCAGCAGUGGGGGAUAUUGCACAAUGGGGGGAACCCUGAUGCAGCGACGCCGCGUGGGUGAAGGAGCGUUUCGGCGCGUAAAGCCCUCUCGGCAGGGAAGAAGGAGGACGGUACCUGACUAAGAAGCCCCGGCUAACUACGUGCCAGCAGCCGCGGUAAUACGUAGGGGGCAAGCGUUAUCCGGAUUUACUGGGUGUAAAGGGGGCGCAGACGGCAGCGCAAGCCAGGAGUGAAAGCCCGGGGCCCAACCCCGGGACUGCUCUUGGAACUGCGCGGCUGGAGUGCAGGAGGGGCAGGCGGAAUUCCUGGUGUAGCGGUGAAAUGCGUAGAUAUCAGGAGGAACACCGGUGGCGAAGGCGGCCUGCUGGACUGCGACUGACGUUGAGGCCCGAAAGCGUGGGGAGCAAACAGGAUUAGAUACCCCAGUAU